GGGUGAUUCUUGAGUCACCAACUGAACUGUGAACCGUUUAGGACAGGUCCGAUUACCAAUUAACUGAAAAUGAUGAGAGAACUGAUAGUAAAAGCAUUUUGAGUGAACUGACGAUGGAGCGAAAAGCAACUUAAAUUAAUCGGAUUAAAGCAUCAUAAACAGCAAUAUAAGUUCAAAAGAGCCGAUACAGACAAGUGAAUCGGACUUCCGGGUUCACACCGUCCUCCAGCAGCACAGCAGAAACACGAACGCAAACUUUCGUGCCUUUUCUCUUGAGGAAAUGUUACCAGGUUUUGACGACUAUUUAUUGUUCCUGAGGUUAGAGCGAGGGAAAAGAGCAUCGCUCAUAGUGGUAUAAAGCCAUUAAGACCUCCUCGAUAUGCUCAACAUCACAAGCCCCAGCCACCCCUUGUAUGUACCCUGCAUCCGGAGUCGGAGCGUGUUGAUGAACGAGGAGAGGCCGUCCAGGGACUCUCUGAGUUAAGGACCGUGCCGCGCGAUUUAUGACGGCGCUCUCGCAGACUUCAGGAUGAUUAAUAUGGCUCCUCCGUACACCGCGGCAGAUCAGGGGAAGGCGCUGCUCUCCACGAGCGCCAGUCAGGCUGUUUAGACAGGCAGAUAACAUCAAAGCGGCCUGCUGCUAGUGUUAAGAAAAUACUGCAUUCUGGGUCAGCGCAAAUGAAUCCACAAGGAGCACGUAACUGUUUUAAUGACAGUCCCAUCUAUAUAUUAUCACUUGUGCACGUAUUGGAACAGAGAGGUUAAUGGCAUUUACAAAUGUCUUUUUUUCCCUCAGUUUGCGCGAUAAUGAUUUCACUUCAGUUUAUGAACGUGUUUGAUCUCACCACGCUGGUCAGGAGAGCAACCGUAGAUUGAGGCCAUGCUGUCAAUAUCCUGAUCUUUUCAGGAACGAACGUGAUGAUGAGGGGCAAACAAAGUUCACUGCUGGCUUACCAAGACUUUCUGUAGUGGAGAACAUCUCAGGUUUGUACGGACUUCCACCCCUACUGAAGUCAAUGAGAGCUGAGGCUAAAUUUCAUCCUUUAAUAGGUAUGCGUCAGUCUUUUCUCUGUUCUCUGUUUUGCCAUAAAGUUGUUUUACUUCCCUUGUGUCUAAUUUUUAUUUGAUAAAUCUAAGCUUAAAUAAUGAAUUAGAUUAAAUAUAGUGCUGUUUGAAGUGCAGUAACCUUAUGUUGGUAUUUCGCUGAAAGUUUUUUGCUCCUUCUAAACGUACAGCAGUAAUUGAC
rnacentral:lncRNA from 1 species